rnacentral:rRNA from 1 species
CACGCAGUAAACGAUGAUUACUCGCUGUUUGCGAUACACAGUAAGCGGCUUAGCGAAAGCGUUAAGUAAUCCACCUGGGGAGUACGUUCGCAAGAAUGAAACUCAAAGGAAUUGACGGGGGCCCGCACAAGCGGAGGAACAUGUGGUUUAAUUCGAUGAUACGCGAGGAACCUUACCCGGGCUUGAAAUGCAUCUGACCGGCAAAGAGAUUUGCUUUUUCCUCGGAACGGAUGCGUAGGUGC